GACGAACGCUGGCGGCGUGCUUAACACAUGCAAGUCGAACGGUGAAGCGCCUUCCUUUUUGGUGGGUGUGGAUGAGUGGCGAACGGGUGAGUAACACGUGAGUAACCUGCCCCCUUCUUCUGGAUAACCGCAUGAAAGUGUGGCUAAUACGGGAUAUUCUGGGUCUGUCGCAUGAUGGGUCUGGGAAAGAUAUUGUUUCGGUGGGGGAUGGGCUCGCGGCCUAUCAGCUUGUUGGUGGGGUGAUGGCCUACCAAGGCGGUGACGGGUAGCUGGCCUGAGAGGGUGUACCGUCACACUGGGACUGAGACACGGCCCAGACUACUACGGGAGGCAGCAGUGGGGAAUAUUGCACAAUGGGCGCAAGCCUGAUGCAGCGACGCCGCGUGAGAGAUGGAGGCCUGCGGGUUGUGAACCUCUUUCGCCAGUGAAGCAGGCCUGCCUAGUUUGUGGGUGGGUUGACGGUAGCUGGAGAAGAAGCGCCGGCUAACUACGUG
rnacentral:rRNA from 1 species